UGUCGGUUGACAAGCUCGCUACAAAUACAGUUCCAUUUCUUUAGGAGUUCAAUUCCCAGGGAAAGGGGGGAAUUCAUUUCAUAAGGAAGGAAAGAAGAGAAAUAAAAGAGGCACUGGUAUUGAAAUUUGAAUGUGCAGUAGCAGUACUGGAGUGGUGUUUACUGAUUGACUAGCCAUGCGUAUUCCGGUUUUGGAAUCGCAAUGGGAAAUGGAAAUGGAGGGUUGUCGUUAUAGUAACUAAGAGGCAAAGGAAAGCGGACCCACCGGCGCCAAUAUUCCGCAAAAUGUCAGAAUUGGUGGCUCGCACCGGUCGCCAUCAGCAGCGCUACAACGAAGGUUGCCGCCUCGUCGCCGGGUGUGUUCCUUUCAAGGAUACCAAUGGUAUUGGAAGUAGUGAUGGAAGGUCUGAGAAGGAUGUGGAGGUACUAAUGAUCAACUCAACUAGUGGACCUGGUCUUCUAUUUCCGAAGGGUGGCUGGGAGAACGAUGAGACAGUUGAGGAGGCGGCAAAACGUGAAGCUUUAGAAGAGGCUGGAGUUCGAGGGGAUUUAAUGCAUUUUCUCGGCUACUACAUCUUCAAGAGCAAAACCCUACAAGAUGAAUUUAGUCCAGAAGGUAUGUGCAAAGCUGCCAUGUACGCUUUGCUUGUGACAGAGGAGCUGCAGUCUUGGCCAGAACAGAGCACUCGCCAGAGACAUUGGCUAACAAUCCCUGAAGCAAAGAAGCGCUGCCAGUAUCAGUGGAUGCGAGAAACCCUUGAGGAAGGUUUCUCAAAGUGGCAUGCAGAUCGAAUAUCAAGCAAUUUGAAAAAAGAGAACCAUGUAGUUUCACCUGAAUCUGAAUCAGAAUUGAUGAAGAAGGCACCUGUCUGAAUUGAUAUUGGUGCAUUUUUUUUUUUCCUUCAAAUUUAGGAACGCUCAUGUUACUGACUUCUUGGUGUAUAAAGGAUUUAGGCAGUCAUUUUAAAGAGACCCAAGAGUCGUUUAGGCAAUGGCAUACAGAGACAGCAUCAGUGUUUUUAAAUCUCACGCUUCCUACAUGUUUCAUGCACACUAUCUAUAGCAUUGACAUCCAAAAGCUCCGUCAAGGUGAAAUGUGCAAACUCAGCCGCGCAUGUUCAUAGGUCAUGUUUCUAUAAAGA